UACGGAGUGUGCGAGCGUUACUCGGAAUCACUGGGCAUAAAGCGCGCGUAGGCGGGCUGUCAAGUCGGUUGUGAAAUCCCUCAGCUCAACUGAGGAACUGCAUCCGAUACUGUCGGUCUUGAGGACGAGAGGGGAGAGUGGAAUUCCUGGUGUAGCGGUGAAAUGCGUAGAUAUCAGGAGGAACACCUGUGGUGUAGACGGCUCUCUGGACAGUAACUGACGCUGAGACACGAAAGCGUGGGUAGCAAACAGG
rnacentral:rRNA from 1 species